AAUAAUGUAGGUUAAAGGUCAAACCAGAGAGUUUAUUCCUCUCAAAUGCUUGAAUUGAGAGGUCGUUGUUA
rnacentral:tRNA from 1 species